rnacentral:rRNA from 1 species
UACAUGCAAGUCGAGCGGACAGAAGGGAGCUUGCUCCCGGAUGUUAGCGGCGGACGGGUGAGUAACACGUGGGUAACCUGCCUGUAAGACUGGGAUAACUCCGGGAAACCGGAGCUAAUACCGGAUAGUUCCUUGAACCGCAUGGUUCAAGGAUGAAAGACGGUUUCGGCUGUCACUUACAGAUGGACCCGCGGCGCAUUAGCUAGUUGGUGAGGUAACGGCUCACCAAGGCGACGAUGCGUAGCCGACCUGAGAGGGUGAUCGGCCACACUGGGACUGAGACACGGCCCAGACUCCUACGGGAGGCAGCAGUAGGGAAUCUUCCGCAAUGGACGAAAGUCUGACGGAGCAACGCCGCGUGAGUGAUGAAGGUUUUCGGAUCGUAAAGCUCUGUUGUUAGGGAAGAACAAGUGCAAGAGUAACUGCUUGCACCUUGACGGUACCUAACCAGAAAGCCACGGCUAACUACGUGCCAGCAGCCGCGGUAAUACGUAGGUGGCAAGCGUUGUCCGGAAUUAUUGGGCGUAAAGGGCUCGCAGGCGGUUUCUUAAGUCUGAUGUGAAAGCCCCCGGCUCAACCGGGGAGGGUCAUUGGAAACUGGGAAACUUGAGUGCAGAAGAGGAGAGUGGAAUUCCACGUGUAGCGGUGAAAUGCGUAGAGAUGUGGAGGAACACCAGUGGCGAAGGCGACUCUCUGGUCUGUAACUGACGCU